ACACUUCUUAAUCUUCCAGAUACCACCUUUUUUUGGAACCCAAGGGUUAUGAAUGACCCUUAUCAUACUGACACUUUCAGACUGUACUCCUCCCUACCCUGAAUACAAGAGACUCUUAAUAGUGAAGCAGGAAUAUCAUCACCUUCAUUCAGCAUGAAGAAUUUACAAAAGAUGGAUCUUUGUCCUCUGUGACUCUUACAAUUAAGGGUUCUCUUAUAAAAGGGAGGAGGGAAAUAUCAGAAGUGUUUGAACCAGAGCAACUCCAUCUUGAAUAUGGGCUGGGUUAAAUAAGGCUAAGACCUCCUGGGCUGCAUUCCCAGUAAGUUAAGGAAUUCUUAGUCUCAGGAUGAGAUAGGAGGUUGGCACAAGAUACAGGUCAUAAAGACCUUGCUGAUAAAACAGAUUGCAGUAAAGAAGCUGGCUAAAACCCACCAAAACAAAGAUGGCGAUGAGAGUGACCUAUGGUCAUUCUCACUGCUACACUCCCACCAGCGCAAUGACAGUGUACAAAUGCCAUGACAAUGUCAGGAAGUUACUCUAUAUGGUUUAAAAAGGGGAGGCAUGAAUAAUUCACACCUUGUUUAGCAUAUAUUUAAGAAAUAACCAUAAAAAUGGGCAACUAACUGUCCUCAGGACUGUUCUGCUGGAGUAGCCAUUCUUUUGUUUCUUGCUUCUCUUAUAAACUUGUCUUCACUUAAAAAAAGGAAAUCAGAGACAACAUAAACAAAUAAAAAAACAUUUCAUGCUUAUGGAUAGGAAGAAUCAGAAUUGUUAAAAUGGCCACAUUGCCCAAAGCAAUUUACAGAUUCAGUGAUAAUUCUAUCAAACUGCCAAUGCCUUUAUUCACCAAAUUAGAAGAAAUUAUUCUAAAAUUCAUAUGGAACUAAAAAAAGAACCUGAAUCACCAGAGCAAUCCUAAGCAAAAAGAACAAAGCUGGAGGCAUCACACUACCCAACUUCAAACUAUGCUGCAGGGCUACAGUAACCAAAACAGCAUAGUACCAUUACAAAAACAGACGCAUAAACCAAUGGAACAGACUAGAGAAUCCAGAAAUAUAGCCAGACACCCACAACCACCAGAGCUUUGACAAAGUCAAUAAUAACAAACUAUGGGGAGAGGACUCCCUAGGCAAUAAAUGGUGAUGGCAUAACUGGCUAGCCAGAUGCAGAAGGUUGAAACUGGACCCCUUCCUUUUAUCAUAUACAAAAAUUAACUCAAGAUGGAUUAGAGACUUAAAUGUAAGAACUGAAACAAUAAAACCCCUAAAAGAAAACCUAGGAAAUACCAUUUUGGACAUUGGCCUUGGGAAGUAAUUUAUGAUUGAGUCCCCAAAAGCAAUUGCAACAAAAAUGAAAAUUGACAAGCAGGACCUAAUUAAACAAAAGAGCUUCUGCACAGCAAAAGAAACUAUCAACAGAGUAAACAGACAACAUACAAAAUGUGACAAAAUAUUCACAAACUAUGAAUCUAACAAAGGUAUAAUAUCCCGAAUCUAUAAAAAACUUAAUUCAACAAACAGAAAUAGAAAAAAACGCCCUUUAAAAAUGUCCAAAGGACAUGAACAGAGACACUUCUAUAAAAGAAGACAUGCACAUGGGCAACAAAUAUAAGAAUGAAAAUCAUCACUAAUUAGAGAAAUGCAAAUUAAAACCACAGUAAGAUUCCAUCUCAUGCCAGUCAGAAUGACUAUCAUUAAAAAGUCAAAAAACAGAUGAUGGCAUGCUUACAGAAGAAAAGGAAUACAUAUACACUGCUGGUAAGAAUGUAAAUUAAUUCAGCUACUGUGUAAAGCAGUGUGGAUGUAUCUCAAAGAACUUAAAAAAGAACUGCCAUUUGACCCAGCUAUUCCACUACUGUGUACACACUCAAAGAAAAAUAAAUUGUUCUGAAAAGAUGCAUGCACUCAUAUGUUUAUUGCAGCACUAGUAACAAUAGCAAAGAUACGGAAUCAACCAAGAUGCCCAUCAGCAGUGGACUGGAUAAAGAAAAUGUGGCCAUAGAACUCUACACAGCCACAAAAGAAUGAAACCAUGUCCUUUGCAGCAACAUGGGAUCAGCUGGAGGGCAUUAUCCUAAGUGAACUAACACAGGAACAGAAAACCAAAUACUGCAUGUUCUCACUUACAAGUGGGAGUUAAACAUUGAAUAUACAUGGACACAAAGAUAGGAACAAUAGACACUGGGUACUAUUUGUGGGGAAAGAAUGGGAAGAGGUUGUGGGUUGGAAGGCUACCUAUUGAGUACUAUGCUCACUACCUGGGUGAUGAGAUCAUUCAUUCACCAAGCCUCAGUGAUUUACCCAUGUGUCAAACGUGUAUAUUAUACCCUCACAAUCUAAAAUAAAAGUAGAAGGAGAAAAAAAUAAACUCUAUAUCACUAUAAGGAACUACAAUCUAUAUGACUAUAAGGAACUGCAAUAAUGAACCACUCCUGCUCCAUAUUUGAGUACCAUACAACAGAUCAAUGGUUAUGUUCAUAGAAAUCAUAGACUAAGAUAUUAUCCAGUCACUGUUCCAACCUGGUGGGUCAGUGCUAAUGUGAUCUGCACAAACAGAUUAGGAAGGCACAGUAGUUUCAUGCCUCUACUUAAUUGAAUAUUAUAUAUUUCCAGAGUAGGAUCAGAUAAUUUUAGGUUUCAUGAGCCAUACAUGCAUCAAAAUCCCACUUUAAUAAAAUUUUUAAUUUUAAGGGCUACAAUUCUCAGUAAAUAAUUACCCUAUUUAUCAAAAUUAUUUAUACAGUGGCUUGAAUGUGAAUGAAGUGUGCCUUAAAAGGCUAGCAAAUUCCCACCUCAUACCAUGUAUAAAAUUAACUGAAAAUGGAUCAUGACCUAAAUGAAAGAUCUAAGACUAUAAAACUCUUAGACUAAAACAUAGUGGUAAAUCUUCAUGACCUUGGGUUUAAUAAAGGAUGCUUAAAUGUGACAGAAAAAAUACAAGCAACAAAAGAAAAAAUAGAUAAAUUGGACUUCAUCAAAAUUUAAAACUUUUGGGCAUCAAUGGACAAUAUUGAGAAAGUGAAGAGAAAAUCCAAAAGUAGGAGAAAAUUCUUUAAACCAUAUAUCUAAUAAAGGUUAAUAUUUCAGAAUAUCUAAAGAACUCUUACAAAUCAACAACAAAAAGACAAGCAGUUGGCCUGGUGUGGUGGCUCAUGCCUGUAAUCCCAGCACUUUGGGAGGCUGAGGUAGGUGGAUCACCUGAAAUCAGAAGUUCGAGACCACCUGACCAAAAUGGUGAAACCCCGUUUCUACUAAAAAAAAAAAAAAAUACAAAAAUUAGCUGGGUGUGGUGGCAUGCACCUGUAGUCCCAGCUACUUGGGAGGCUGAGACAGGAGAACUGCUUGAAUCCAGGAGGCAGAAAUUGCAGUGAGCUGAGAUCGCACCACUGUACUUCAGCCUGGGCAACAGAGCAAGACUUCAUUAAAAAAAAAAAAAAAAGACAAGCAAUUAAUUUAGAAAAUGGCAAAGGGCUUGAAGAGACAUUUCUCCAAAGAUGAUACGCAAAUGGCCAACAAACACAUGCAAAUAUCUUUAACAGAAUUUGGUCAUUACAGAAAUGCACAUCAAAACUACAAUAUGAUAAGACUUCACACCCACCAGGAGAGCUGUAAUUAUCUACAUUGCCCACAUCAUCUUAUCAUCAUUAUUAUUGAAAAAUAACAAGUGUUGGAGAGAAUGUACAAAAAUUUUGACCCUCAUACCUUGUUAGUGAAGCCAUUGUGGAAAAUAGUUUGGCAGCUCCUCAAAACAUAAAAGAUAGAAUUAUUAUAUGACCUAGGAAUUUUUCUCCUAGGUAUAUACCCUAAAGAGUUGAAAACACAGAUACUCAAGCAAAUACUUAUACAUGAAUGUUCAUGGAAACACUUUCAUAAUAGCUAAAUGGUAGAAACAACCCACAUGUGUUACCAGAUAAAUGGAUAAACAAAGUAUGAUAUAUACAUACAAUGGCAUAUUAUUCAGCUACACAAAACAGUGAAGUACUGAUACAUGCUACAACAUGGACGAACCUUGAAAGCAUUAUGCUAAGUGAAGGAAGACAAACUCAACAGGUUACAUGUUUCAUAUUUCCAUUUAUUUGAAAUAUCCAAACUAGUUAAAUUCAUACAGAGAGAAAGCAGGUUCCCAUUUACCGGAAACUGAAACAGGAAGAAAUGGGAGAUGGGGGAGUGAUUGCUCAAUGGAUGCAAGGUUUCCUUUUGGGAUGAUGAAAAUAUUUUGGAACUUGAUAGAUGUGGCGAUUGCCUAACUUUAUGAAUGUAUUAAAUUCCAUUCAAUUAUAUAUUUUGAAAUGAUUAAUUUUAUGUUACAUAGAUUUCACCUCAAUAAAAUGAAAUCAUUCUACCUGUUAUUUC
rnacentral:lncRNA from 10 species